rnacentral:rRNA from 1 species
GAUGAACGCUAGCUACAGGCUUAACACAUGCAAGUCGAGGGGAAACGAUAUUGGAAGCUUGCUUCCGAUAGGCGUCGACCGGCGCACGGGUGAGUAACGCGUAUCCAACCUGCCCAUCACUUGGGGAUAACCUUGCGAAAGUAAGACUAAUACCCAAUGAUAUCUCAAGAAGACAUCUGAAUGAGAUUAAAGAUUUAUCGGUGAUGGAUGGGGAUGCGUCUGAUUAGCUUGUUGGCGGGGUAACGGCCCACCAAGGCGACGAUCAGUAGGGGUGCUGAGAGGAGGGUCCCCCACAUUGGAACUGAGACACGGUCCAAACUCCUACGGGAGGCAGCAGUGAGGAAUAUUGGUCAAUGGGCGAGAGCCUGAACCAGCCAAGUAGCGUGCAGGAUGACGGCCCUAUGGGUUGUAAACUGCUUUUAUAAGGGAAUAAAGUGAGCCUCGUGAGGCUUUUUGCAUGUACCUUAUGAAUAAGGACCGGCUAAUUCCGUGCCAGCCGCCGCCGUAA